GGGUUGUGAGGUUAAGCGACUAAGCGUACACGGUGGAUGCCCUGGCAGUCAGAGGCGAUGAAGGACGUGCUAAUCUGCGAUAAGCGCCGGUAAGGUGAUAUGAACCGUUAUAACCGGCGAUUUCCGAAUGGGGAAACCCAGUGUGACUCGUCACACUAUCAUUAACUGAAUCCAUAGGUUAAUGAGGCGAACCGGGGGAACUGAAACAUCUAAGUACCCCGAGGAAAAGAAAUCAACCGAGAUUCCCCCAGUAGCGGCGAGCGAACGGGGAGGAGCCCAGAGUCUGAAUCAGCAUGUGUGUUAGUGGAAGCGUCUGGAAAGGCGCGCGAUACAGGGUGACAGCCCCGUACACAAAAGCGCAUAUGCUGUGAGCUCGAUGAGUAGGGCGGGACACGUGGUAUCCUGUCUGAAUAUGGGGGGACCAUCCUCCAAGGCUAAAUACUCCUGACUGACCGAUAGUGAACCAGUACCGUGAGGGAAAGGCGAAAAGAACCCCGGCGAGGGGAGUGAAAAAGAACCUGAAACCGUGUACGUACAAGCAGUGGGAGCACCCUUUGGGGUGUGACUGCGUACCUUUUGUAUAAUGGGUCAGCGACUUAUAUUCUGUAGCAAGGUUAACCGUAUAGGGGAGCCGCAGGGAAACCGAGUCUUAACCGGGCGUUAAGUUGCAGGGUAUAGACCCGAAACCCGGUGAUCUAGCCAUGGGCAGGUUGAAGGUUGGGUAACACUAACUGGAGGACCGAACCGACUAAUGUUGAAAAAUUAGCGGAUGACCUGUGGCUGGGGGUGAAAGGCCAAUCAAACCGGGAGAUAGCUGGUUCUCCCCGAAAGCUAUUUAGGUAGCGCCUCGUGAACUCAUCUCCGGGGGUAGAGCACUGUUUCGGCUAGGGGGCCAUCCCGGCUUACCAACCCGAUGCAAACUGCGAAUACCGGAGAAUGUUAUCACGGGAGACACACGGCGGGUGCUAACGUCCGUCGUGAAGAGGGAAACAACCCAGACCGCCAGCUAAGGUCCCAAAGUCAUGGUUAAGUGGGAAACGAUGUGGGAAGGCCCAGACAGCCAGGAUGUUGGCUUAGAAGCAGCCAUCAUUUAAAGAAAGCGUAAUAGCUCACUGGUCGAGUCGGCCUGCGCGGAAGAUGUAACGGGGCUAAACCAUGCACCGAAGCUGCGGCAGC
rnacentral:rRNA from 1 species